UGGAGGCCGCUGCUGAGUUGCCUCUGUCUCUUUAAGAGAGAGAGAAAGAGAGAAAUCAGGAAGUGAGAGAGCUGAGCCAGGACUGCUGAGCGGUGCGUGCGGGGGCCACGGGUAGCAGGCAGAGGCAGGGAGGCUGCAAGGAAACCCACUGGUCCCAGUUCCCGCGGUGCCAGGAAAUCAUUUCACCUGGUCCUGCCCGAGAGUCCCAAGGCCUGUGGCCACCAGGAUGCAAAAAGCACUGCCCUUGAAUAACUGAGCCCUGAAAGCUCCCGGGGUGCCAGCCCAGCCAGGAGUCCCACAACCCGCAUCCCUGCAGCUGAGAUGGGCUCAUCUCCUGGAUUUGCCCCAGACCGACAGCAUAACACACACUUGCUGGGGAGAGCCUUUGCCUGAUCAGGGCUGCUUGGACAUCGGUGGACGCUGGCCAGUCAGCCGGGGUAGGAGAUGCAGAGCACUGCCAGCUACCUGUGGCACUCAGACGACCUGCUGGGCCAGGGGGCCACUGCCAGUGUAUAUAAGGCCCGCAACAAGAAAUCUGGGGAGCUAGUUGCUGUGAAGGUCUUCAACACCGCCAGCUACCUGCGGCCCCACGAGGUGCAGGUGAGGGAGUUCGAGGUCCUGCGGAAGCUGAACCACCAGAACAUCGUCAAGCUCUUUGCCGUGGAGGAGACGGGGGGCAGCCGGCAGAAGGUGCUGGUGAUGGAGUACUGCUCCAGCGGGAGCCUGCUGAGCGUGCUGGAGAGCCCCGAGAACGCCUUCGGGCUGCCCGAGGAGGAGUUCCUGGUGGUGCUGCGCUGUGUGGUGGCCGGCAUGAACCACCUGCGGGAGAACGGCAUCGUGCACCGCGACAUCAAGCCCGGGAACAUCAUGCGCCUGGUGGGGGAGGAGGGCCAGAGCAUUUACAAGCUGACGGACUUCGGGGCUGCCCGGGAGCUGGACGACGACGAGAAGUUCGUCUCCGUCUACGGGACCGAGGAGUACCUGCAUCCCGACAUGUACGAGCGGGCAGUGCUUCGCAAGCCCCAGCAAAAGGCGUUCGGGGUGACUGUGGACCUCUGGAGCAUUGGGGUGACCCUGUACCACGCAGCCACUGGCAGCCUGCCCUUCGUCCCCUUUGGGGGGCCACGCCGCAACAAGGAGAUCAUGUACCGAAUCACCACGGAGAAGCCAGCUGGGGCCAUCGCAGGUGCUCAGAAGCGGGAAAACGGGCCCCUGGAGUGGAGCUACACCCUGCCCAUCACCUGCCGGCUGUCUGUGGGGCUGCAGAGCCAGCUGGUGCCCAUCCUGGCCAACAUCCUGGAGGUGGAGCAGGCCAAGUGCUGGGGCUUCGACCAGUUCUUUGCGGAGACCAGUGACAUCCUGCAGCGCGUCGUCAUCCACGUCUUCUCGCUGUCCCAGGCAACCCUGCACCACGUCUACAUCCACGCCCACAACACGAUAGCCAUCUUUCUGGAGAGCGUGUAUGAGCAGACCAACGUGGCCCCCCGGCACCAGGAGUACCUCUUUGAGGGGCACGUGUGCGUCCUCGAGCCCAAACUCCCAGCACAGCACCUCUGCACGACUGCGAGGAGCCCCCUGAUACUGUUCAGUGUGGCCAGCGAGACCCCCAAGGGGCUGGCCUUCCGGGACCCUGCUCUGGACAUCCCCAAAUUCGUCCCCAAAGUUGACCUGCAGGCAGAUUACAACACAGCCAAGGGCGUGCUGGGCGCCAGCUACCAGGCCCUGUGGCUGGCACAGGCCCUGCUGGACGGGCAGGAGCUGAUGCUUCGGGGGCUGCACUGGGUUGUGGAGGUGCUCCAGAGCACAUGCAGGCGAACCCUGGAGGUCACACGGACGGCCCUCCUCUUCCUCAGCAGCAGCCUAGGCGCUGAGAGGUUCAGCCGCGAGACUGGGAUGCCUGAGAUCCAGGAACUGAAGCAGGCCUCAGAACUGAGGUCCAGGCUGCGGACUUUGGCUGAGGUCCUCCACAGAUGUUCCCAAAACGUCACAGAGACCCAGAGGAACCUGAGCAGCCUGAGCUCCGAGCUGGCGAAGAACCGGGAUCAGGUACAUGAGGACAGAAGGUGUCCUAUAGCAAGAAAUCUCUCAAUCAAUCACUCGAUAAACAAACAAAUAAACACACCCCAUUCUCCAACUCAACAAAGCAUCCAGCAGAUUCAGUGCUGUUUGGACAAGAUGUUCCUUAUUCACAAGCAGUUCAAGAAGUCCAGGAUGCGGCCAGGGCUCGGCUACAACGAGGAGCAGAUUCACAAGCUGGAUAAGGUGAACUUCAGCCAUUUAGCCAAAAGGCUCCUGCAGGUGUUCCAGGAAGAGUGCGUGCAGAAGUACCAGGCGUCCCUCGUCACUCACGGCAAACGGAUGAGGGUGGCACAUGAGACCCGGAACCACCUGCGCCUGGUCGGCUGCUCUGUGGCCGCCUGUAACACCGAAGCCCAGGGAGCCCAGGAGAGCCUCAGCAAGAUCCUGGACCAGCUGUCUCACCAGCUCCUCCAGAACAGAGCAAAGGGGGCCCAGGCCCCACCACCCCCAGCAGCAUCUUAUCCCAGCCCUGUACCAAAGGACCUGGUUCGACACAUGCAGGAGCUCUGCGAGGGGAUGAAGCUGCUGGCAUUCGACCUCCAGGACAACAACCGCAUCAUCGAACGAGCUGUGGCCAAAGAGCCAUACAACCUUGUGUGAACUCCUUUCCCUCCUUCCAAACCUUACCUGUGCAUCAGGGGGCUUUCAACACCUGGUCUUGCCUCUGGAGACUUCAGAUGCAGCUAGGGUUGGGGGUUUUGAUAAGCUUCUCAGGUGACUAACGGGCAGUGCGAGAUGGGAACAGCGUCCAGGAACAAGAUUCUAGAAGAGGAUGUUAAAUAAAGUCCCGCCAGCUCCUGAUGUCUGAGCUCCGCAGGGCCACAAGGCACCCUGAAGCAUUAGAACCUUCCGAACUCUGCUCUCCUGCACUGCGGGGCUCCACCUAGGCCAGAGCUGGUCCCAUCGCACCAGCCUACCUCCCUCCUGGCCAACGGCCGGAUGUCGCCAGCACUACCUUUCACUGCCUGGCCCCCAGGCUGUCUCGGUCAGGACCCAGAGGACAGAGUGCAGCAGCCCCAGCCUGGGCUGGCCCCUGGGUCUUACCCAGCCCCAGGUCCUGCUCCUCCUUUGUCCGGCUGCAGAGUGGAACAUGGCUAGGCUGUGGGGAGCAGAGGCUCCCAUAGGCUCCCCAUUCCCUUCUGGUUUAUAGCACUGUGCUCCCCUGGGAACAGGAGAGGAGUCUGUGGGAUUUCCCCAGGGUGCUGGGUCAGAUGACCUCAGCUCAGUCUUCCUUCCUCUUCAACCGUUUCACACUGAACACAGCUCUCCCCGUCCUGUGAUUCCUGAGCACUGCCACACAGUCUUAUUUUCCUUCUGUCCCUGGUUGGGCAGAGCCUAAGGUGGGGGACAUGGGUGGUCCAGGCCAGGUAUCAUGCCUUGGGACCCUCCUCCCUCCCUCCUUGUCCUGGGAGGCAGCCAGCCAGGGUCAACAGGUAGCCAUGCCAACCAGCACACCCUGCAACUCCACAGCCCUGAGGAGGCCAAAGGCCCGCACCUUCCAGAAAUGAAAUAAACGUGGCCUUCUUUUCUA